AUGCUUUUCCACAAGUGGGGUAAAGUCGCUCUCCAAGCAUCUGUCUCCAACCAAAUCAGUAUAGAGAUAAAUGAGCAAGACAAUCUUUAUCAACUCUCUUUAAACGUCUACUUUAAAAGAUAUUUAAAGUUAGAGAUAUGCUCAGAAAUAUACAUUAAAUGUAAAAGCAAACGCAGAAAAAAGGGAGAGAGGGGAAAACCCGUGAGCGAUCAGCUAAGACUAGCGGAAGCUAAGAGAAAAGUAAGCUUAGAGAAUGGAAGUAAGGAAGCUUUCUCGUGAUGUUUGAAGAAGCAUCAAUUGGCAAAUGCAUGACUGGAGGAGGCAUUGGAACCUGUAAGUGUACUUGAAGAGAGUUUAAUAAGGAACCUGUAAGUGUACUUGUUUAUCUUCUUUGCGCUAUGUAAAGUGGUUUCUUUCCUAUCAUCCUCCCAUACCAUUUCACUCAGCUGUAUUGUUAUAAAUCUUAGUUCAUAUCUCAGACAGAUAUCAAAAGAGAAAAAUAAAAAUAUUUAACAAUUUCAUUCA